ensembl:lncRNA
AGGAGAGACUCCCCGUGAGGCUUAGCCCUUGUCUUAUUGCCAGCCUUUGCCACAGGCAGGUGAGAAAGGCAGGGCCACUCCUCAGCAAAGCUGGCCUCUUCUGCACUUCCUCACCAGUGUCGUUUCUUCCUUUUUUCCCCUCUUCCCCUUCCCCUCUUGUGUUUUUUCUGAACCCCACAUCUGCCAUCGUUUCUCUCCUCUUGAGUCCCUGGCUUCUGGCCACUGCCUCCUCCCUCUUCUAAGCCUUGACCUGAACCUGGUUGACCAGAGACAAGUGUGGAUCCUUUGGGUGGCAGUCAGGGGAAAUCUCAGGGCCUUUAUUGGGAGGAAUCUCUGUAAUUCCUGUUUGGGCUCCAAAUUUCUGAAGAGUAGUAUUUUAAAACUAUAGCUUACAAAAUACAUUAUCUGGCCACAGUCUCCUCCUUGGUAUACAAGGGGUGGAUGAAGUUCCCGUAUUAGGACUGGCACUCCUUACGGUGCUUAUAGAACCAGUCUCACUACUUGACUCAUUACGUCAUCACUCUUGUUACAUCAUAUUUUUAGCUACAGCCACAUUAACUAACAUUUUUAUAUACUUUCAAUUAGCUGUACUAAUUGGGGCUUGAAACUAUAUAAAAUCUUCCUAUCCUGUGGAUUUUAAAUAGCUAUCCCAUAUCGACUGCCAGAGAGCAUCUACCUUACCACUUAAGAAGAAAAGCCACUCUCUUCCAAUCCAAGCCCACUGCAGUCUUGUGGAUUUUCCACACAGCAGCUUUUCACUGUAUGCCUGUACUCGUGCUGCACUGAGCUUGUCAUCAGGAAACCAGAACAUUGCUUUAUCAUAGCACUUUUCAUCUUGGUAAUAUCAAAACAACUUUAUAAAUGAACUGAUUGAUAUAUGUUAUUUCUUGCAAGAUUUUCCUUUGGCCUUUAACUGGCUUCUGAGGCUACAGAACUCCAACCCAGAGUUCUUCAGGACUUAAAUUUUGCUUAAGGAAGGCCUUUAUCAUGCUGAAAGCACUCAGACAUGUCUACCCUCACAGCAGAAUGUAGAAGUCAUAUGAAUGAGGGAUCAUACAUGGUAGUGUCAGCCCAAAUUGACAUGACAACUCACUGAAUGUGUGGCCCUGUAUAAAAGCUGGUGCCAGUUUUCAUCACUGUUAUUACAUAAUAGAUUGGGAACCUCAUUCAACCGUAUUGCACAGAUGAGCAAUUAUAGCAGAGAAAAUUCAUUAGUGCUUCCACUCAUAUCCUUAUGUGUGAGUUGGUGAAAUUUAGCCUGAGCUUGAUUCUUAGGUCUUGGGACUCAGUUUCCAACCUUCAUAUUAAUGCUAAGAAUGGCCAUAUACCACUUCAUUUACGUAAAAGGAAUAAAAUAAGCAAGUUAAGCUUCAGGGUCCUAGAAUUUUUCUGACUCCUAUAAUCCUUCGGCAGAAUAUGAAGAAAUAACAAAGCAUGAUCUGCAAUGGAAAGGUUUUUUUUUGGCACUAACUUCAUGCAAAAUUUCACAGACAUCUAUGCAUUAAUUUAAAUUAUUGGUGCAAAUGUGUGCUUUGUAGUUCAACCUUAUUAAAAAUUCUUCAGCCAGUUAGGAUUUCAAAAUACAUUAGUGAGAGUAACAGCUAGCAGAAUAAUUACAAUGGCUAAAACGUUUUUAUAGAGGAUCUUGUUUUUCAAAAAAGAAUAAAAAGUUUGAAUAGCUAUUAUUAAAGAAAAGCCAUGUCUUCAACAUCUGAGUCACCAAGAAGUAACACUUUUUAAACUUGUUAGAAAUCCCUGGAGGCAUUUUAAAUUCAUCUUCUAACCUACCUAAGCACUUUAAAAUACAGGCUCCUUCUGUUCCUCUGUUCCCCUUCAUGCCUCCUUUUGAAUUGAUAUCUCAGCUAUCAAUAUUUCUUUGACUUCAGCAUUGUCAUUUUAUUUCUCUAUAUCAAUGUAUCCUUAGUUUUGUUAGCCUGUUAAUUUAAAAGUCCAGACUUGGGGGUCAUUGUGUUGCUACCCAAGAGAAAAUGCUACAGUUCUAUAGAUUGCACAUCAUUCUUUAAGGCAUACAUUUACCUCAGGAAACUUACUCUAGUAUGUUCUCAUAUACUGAAUUCUCAACUGAGUAACUAUUUCUUUAUACCUAUAAACUAGUACCUAAUUCACUGUUAGUUAAACGAGCCAUAGAUAAGGCAGCUAAAUUUCUGAAAGAUAGCCAGAGUAAGUAAGCAGCCACUGUAAGCUCUGAAUCAGUUUCCAAAAAAAAGAAGACAAAAAAAAAAAAAG